rnacentral:rRNA from 1 species
UACGUAGGGGGCUAGCGUUGUCCGGAAUCAUUGGGCGUAAAGAGCUCGUAGGCGGCUUGUCGCGUCGUCCGUGAAAACCUGCGGCUCAACUGCAGGCUGGCGGUCGAUACGGGCAGGCUGGAGUUCGGUAGGGGAGACUGGAAUUCCUGGUGUAGCGGUGAAAUGCGCAGAUAUCAGGAGGAACACCGGUGGCGAAGGCGGGUCUUUUGGGCCGAUACUGACGCUGAGGAGCGAAAGCGUGGGAGCGAACAGG